UGGGGAAUAUUGGACAAUGGGCGAAAGCCUGAUCCAGCAAUGCCGCGUGAGUGAUGAAGGCCUUAGGGUUGUAAAGCUCUUUUACCAGGGAUGAUAAUGACAGUACCUGGAGAAUAAGCUCCGGCUAACUCCGUGCCAGCAGCCGCGGUAAUACGGAGGGAGCUAGCGUUGUUCGGAAUUACUGGGCGUAAAGCGUACGUAGGCGGUGACUCAAGUCAGAGGUGAAAGCCUGGAGCUCAACUCCAGAACUGCCUUUGAAACUAGGUCGCUAGAAUCACGGAGAGGUGAGUGGAAUUCCGAGUGUAGAGGUGAAAUUCGUAGAUAUUCGGAAGAACACCAGUGGCGAAGGCGGCUCACUGGACGUGUAUUGACGCUGAGGUACGAAAGCGUAGGGGAG
rnacentral:rRNA from 1 species